rnacentral:rRNA from 1 species
UCCGGAGGAGGCAAUCGUUAUCCGGAAUUAUUGGGCGUAAAGCGUCCGUAGGUGGUUGACCAAGUCUGCUGUCAAAGGGUGGGGCUUAACCUCAUAAAGGCAGUGGAAACUGGUGAGCUAGAGUGCGGUAGGGGUAAGGGGAAUUCCCAGUGUAGCGGUGAAAUGCGUAGAGAUUGGGAAGAACAUCGGUGGCGAAAGCGCCUUGCUGGGCCUGCACUGACACUGAGGGACGAAAGCUAGGGGAGAGAAAGGG